ensembl:lncRNA
UCUUCCCGAGGGAGGGGGGCUGCCUUGGGGAUGUGAAAAGUACCGUUAUGUAAGGGAGGGAUUUUUCCAUGCUUCUGGGAUGCCAAAAGAAGCGCUGUGAGAGGGCGUGGGUGAAAGAAAGAAGAAAAAAGAAAAAAGGAGAAAAUGCUUGCAGGAAUAAAGCAGAGGUCUGCCCUACCGCAGCUCUGGCGGAGCUCUGCAUGGCAGAGAGAAAAAGCUUUUCAUUUUUCAGAUGCAGCCUUUUAAAUCAGAAAGGAGGAGGAGGUACGGCUUCAGCCUGCCCUGCCUUCCAGCACCAGUACCCCGCACUGUGUGUCAGACGGCAGGGAAGAACAAAGGGCUGGUGGUCACAUCCUGGUUGGCACAGAGCACGGGGAGGGGUCGGCGAGGGCCGUGCUGGACCGCUGCGUGGCUUUGCUGUAUGUGAUGGGAAGGAUCCUCCCAGCUGCAAUUGCUCCGUCUGAAGAACGAAGUGCGGCCCUUCCGAAGCUUCUUGUCUUUGUCCCGCUGCAGCUCUGGAGUUUCAGCACAAGCCACACCAACAGGCUCCCAGCACGGCCGUGGGCUCUAAUUGCUCCUGCCCGGCGGCUCCAUUUAAUCUGAGCCUGCAGCUGGCUCGCAGGUGGCUUUGUCUCCAGCUUUGUUGCCUUUGGGGAUAAAAUGGACUCCAUGCCCAAGCUGAAGAUCUUUGUGAUGUUGCUGUCUCUGGUUACUUUCACAGCCAUGGUGAUACUGAAUGCUGGGAAUGCCACUGGGCUUUUCAAAGGUCUGUUCCGGACAACCCCUGGCAACAUCUCAGAGAAGUACAGCACUGACUUCACACCGGCCGGCUGGACUUUCCUCAUCUGGAAUGUCAUCUAUGCCUGGCAGCUGGCGUGGCUCCUGUAUGCUCUGUCAGGGAUCUGCCGGAGAAAUGAACUUGGAUACGUCUUCAUGAAGCCGGACUUGCUGCCAAUACCUUUUUAUGUGGCAUGGAUUCUGAAUAAUGGCCUCAAUGUUGGAUGGCUGUUUCUAUGGGACAGAGAAUACCUCCUCCCAGCCCUGCUGUUGCUGGCAGCCCUCACCUUUACCACAGGUGCUGCUCUCUUCAUCUCGCACAGAGCCUUGAGUAUCCAUUCCACGUGGUUCAUGAAGGGUCACCAAGCUGAUCUCUGGCUCAUCCGGAUCCUAGUGCAGAAUGGGCUGGCACUGUAUGCCACAUGGACCACCAUCGCCACUCUGCUGAACUUUGCUGUUGUGUUGAUCUACAAGUGGGACGUGUCCAAUGAGACAGCAACGACUGCCUGUCUGAGCAUCCUUACUCUCAUGCUUGUCAUGUGGUUUUGCCAGGAGAACUUCUUUCUCGAUAAGUACGUCCGUUAUAACCUCACCAUCUACCCAGUGGUCAUAAUAGCUCUGACUGGCAGCAUGUGCAAGGACUUCUCGGUAUCCUCCCCAACCACCAACGGCGUUUUUAUAGUUGUACUGCUGGCACUGACUUGUUUCAUCUUUGCUGUUCGGCUGGCAUUAGUCAUAUGGAAGCACAGCAAUGAACCAGUGGAAGCACCAGCACCACCACCACAGCCAUCAAGCACAGCAGCCUGAGACCUCUGGCAUGGUGAUGCUAUGUCAGAUGCUUUAGAGGGAGAAGUAAGAGCUGAGCAUCCUGCUUCCACUGGUCCUUUCUUCCAGUAGCAAUUACCCUAUUUUUUUAGCUAUUUUUCUGUUUUCUUUUUUUUUUUUUUAAUAUGCUGGAUUAGUAAGGCUUGUGCCUGCAAACCCAUCCUCCUCCCCUGUUCUCUGAGCUCAGCUAUUUGCAGCCCCACCUCAAACAUGCACCUUCCUCUGUUUCAUUUUUGGUCAGUGGAGGAAGAGGCCCUUUGGAUGAGUAGCUCUGUAUACAUUUGUGAUGACAGAGCUGCUCCUUCCAGUGUGAGGGGGGCUGUCAGCAGAUGCUUGGCACGGAGAGUUGCCCUCACCCUUUCCUGGGAGCUAUGGUGGGCAUGGGAGGAGGGAUGGCUGAAUACUUCUGACACAGCUGCAAGUCUUCGGCCUAUUUCAGGUUGCUCUAACUCUAGGAACUGACAACCUGUUCAUUUCUCGGCACACAGUAUUAUCUCUGUGACUUUCUUACUGAAGCUUGUCACUGUGUCGGUGCCUCCAUCCAUGGCCCCAAAGUAACAGCAGAUCUGUGUCCCCUACCCCACUCCUCCUUUCAGACAGGGGAGAUCCAGGUGAUAUGGGAGCAGUGGGCUACUUGUCCUGAGCUGUGCCCAGUUGGUCACUGCCUCCUUGCAGCCCUUCUGCUGGGAGAUCAGCCAUUCAGACACCACCAUACCUGAUGGAGGGUGGAGCCUGCUGCUUCAUGGAACGCUUCUUGCAUUCUGAGCUGGGGUAGAGUGAAUUCUUCCUGGAUCAGUGCUUUAUAAUGUGGCUUCACCACUGUGGGCUUACUUUGGGAAGCCUGAAUGAGUACUGACUGGAUUGUCAGACCUCCACCUCUAUUUGCUGUGCCUACUAGAUUUGAUGGUGCCUUGUUGGUGUCUGGAAAGUCUUCCUCGAUGACUGGUGCUUGGAAAUGCUGAAUAUCUUGCAGUACUAUUACGAAGGUGAAUUCUACUAAAACAACAUGUUAUUGUCUACAUUUAAUGAAGAGCAAAGUCUGUAUUAUGCUGUUCUUGUCAUUCCAUCACAUUUUUAAAUAAAGCGGCAACUGCCAACA